rnacentral:rRNA from 1 species
UACGUAGGUGGCAAGCGUUGUCCGGAUUUACUGGGCGUAAAGGGCUCGUAGGCGGCCAACUAAGUCAGACGUGAAAUCCCUCGGCUUAACCGGGGAACUGCGUCUGAUUCUGGAUGGCUUGAGAUUGGGAGAGGGAUGCGGAAUUCCAGGUGUAGCGGUGAAAUGCGUAGAUAUCUGGAGGAACACCGGUGGCGAAGGCGGCAUCCUGGACCAACACUGACGCUGAGGAGCGAAAGCCAGGGGAGCAAACGGG